AAUAAACUAGGUUAUUCUUCCGGAAUGACUAAGUUAUUCAAACCAUCCACAGUCGGUCAUAUGUUGGAAGUAGAUAUGAAUUAAGACUGUCAUGGGUUGGCUUGUAGAGGUCUAAGGUGUUGGACAAAGGGCUACAACACUCAUGAGUGCUCAUAAGUUCUGAGUAUUGGAUUCAACCCGCGCUCAUUGGAAUCACUUCAUGGAUUUUAUCACGAGUGAUCAUGAGACGAUAAUAUCUUAUAUUCUUCAAACCUAGAGAUAUGAGUUGUUACUAUGAGUUGAUAGUACAUUGAUUGCACGAAAACGCAUUUGGUAACUCGGUGCUAUAAAACGUGCCUUUGUGUAUGAUUCAACAAGUAGUAGAACAAGCCAUAUGAGUCGAAGUUUAUCCGUUCCUUUUACCUUCGGGAUAAAAGCGAUAUCUGUGGGCCCCUCGAUGAUUUGAUGAUGACAAAUGGAAGUGCUCGGCCGGGCCAGGACUGAUUUGAUUUGUUCAAUUAGUCAGUCGUCAUAAAUCGGAAAUCGGGAAACAACAAAUGGACAGAGAGAAUGAUUAUAAUCCAUGUCUCAGUCCAUAUGAUAUCUAGAAUGGAGGAAUAUAUGAUCCCUUAUCUAAUGGACAAGUCAUUGACAAAGGUCAGAGUUCAUCUACAAGGUCAGAGUUCGACAGAAGCUUUUGAGAGCUACGAUUGCCAGUUGGUUCCUGAAGUCAUACGCAAUAAUAGUUUUAGACUUAUCCAAGUGGGAGACUGUUGGAUUAAUGUCUAAGUCCAUAACUAUAAUUGGUAAGACUUGACCCGACCCGGCAUGGUCCAUUUGGGUUGCAUACCAUCAUGCACUUGGAUAGACUAUAAUGAGAGAAAUAAGACACUUAUGGUUAUUAAUAUAUUAUAAGUUCUAGUAUAUUAAUAAUAAGAAUAAUAAGAUUAUUUAAUUAGUAUUGAUCAAGAAUUAAUCUAGGAUUAAUUAAGUGAUCAAAAGAAGACUAAUUAAAUAUAUGGGUUGAUUGUGUAAAUCAUCCAUACUUGUAUAGUGGGCUAAUGCUCCAUGGAUAAUCAAGUUGGGCUAAAACCCAUAGGAUGGUCCAUGGAUGCUCCAUGGUGUAUUUGUACCCAUGGAUCCAAGGAAAUGGAAAGCCAUGACAAUUAAGAGUUUACCCUAAUUGUGUAACUAUAUAAGCAUCUUAUUAUUGAGGAAAAAUCGGCCACUAGAGAUAGUGAAGAAAGGGCUAGCCGAUUUUGAUGAGUGUAGAAUUCUCUCAAGUCAUUCUAAGUGUUUUGAUGAUUGUGAUUCCAUUUGAGGUGUCACACUUGGGGCACUAGGCACUCAAGCUUCAUGAAGACUUUCUACACCAAAGAGGUAUGUAUUCUAUCUUGCUAUAGUUAUUGUUUUGUAUGCUAGAUUAGGAUAAUACCUUGGAAGUUCUUAUUUGCAUGUAUAAUAGAGAAAACAUAGAUCCAAGGUAUUUAGGGUUGCAUGUACACUUAGGAAGUGUUAGAAUGCUCAAAACCCAACAGUGGUAUCAGAGCCACGGGUUGUUUUCUGUUAUAUUGAUGCAAAUAUUUUAUUUUCAAAGUUGAAAAAAAAAAAAAAAAAAAACAUGAAGUUUGUCAAAUUUUAAGAUAAUUACUUGUUCUUGUGAAAAACUAAUUAUUUGUAAAAUUUGAAUAAUUUGCUUUAUGAGUUGAAUUAGGUCAAAUUUAAUAAAAGAUAAAAUAAUAUGAUUAUUUUAUUAGUUUUAAAAGUUUGAUCUAAAGAGUUUUAUUUUUUGAAACCUCCAUAAGUUAUGGAUAUGAAAAGGUUUUAAAAAAAAAAUUGAUUCAAAGUUUUUUUGGAGUUACAAAAUUUGGUGUUAAUGUUUUAAAGGAUUCCAUAACUUAAGAAUAAGUUAUGGAUCACCAAAAGUUUUUUGUGUUACCUUGUUUUAUGAGUGAAUUUAGAUUAAUGAAUAAAAUUAUGUGAUAGUUGGUUUUAAUCCAAAUUAAUCUAAGAAUUGAUUCUAAAAUGUGUUUUUGUAACUUGUCCUCAAGUUAUAUGAAAAGUCACAUUUAAGAAUCAUAAAACUCAUAAAAAUUGGCAAAGGUUACAAAAAUGAAGAGUCUAGUUCUAAUUAAAUGGUUUUAUGACUCCAUAACUUGUCCUCAAGUUAUGGAGGACCAAGAGUCUCUUCAUUUAAUAAAAUAAAAUAAAAAAAAAAAAAGUGUAACCUUAAUUAAUUCCAUAAGUUAUAAAAUAAAGAAAAGUUAAUUCUUUUAUUAGUUUAAAGUCUUCCAUAACUUGUCCUCAAGUUAUGGAACUUGAAGAGUUUUUGGAUUAAAACUACUUUAAACACAUAAGUUAUGGAAUUAAUUAGUUUUGAAUAGUUUCAAAACUUGCCCUCAAGUUUUGGAAUUUGUAAAGUUUUCACUUAUGAAUACUUUAAUUCCAAGUUAGCCCUUAGAAUUUUAAAAGUUAAAAUUCAACCCUUAUACUUUAUAAUAUUAUAAGUUAAUAAUAUAUAUAUGUAUAAGAGUAAAGUCAGUCUUACCGCUAGUACGCCUCAUUCACGAAGCCGGUCUAUAAGGUGGGUAUAAGGUUGUUGCCUAUAAAAUGGCAACUUAAUGGGUGUCCACUCUCACCCACCGCUUGCUUGACUGGUGGAGGGUCGUUAGCCGAACGGGUUUGACAGGACUAGAAUUCUCCCUUCAUUAAAAGUAUUAAUGAUAAUACUAAGUAACUAAACUCUUAAUAAUACCCAAUCUUAGUUACUUAGGAAAAAUGUGAAUAAGGUGCUAAUCCAUGAAAUUACACUUUACACUUUGUCUAAGUCGUUAGUGGAGCGUGUGUGGUUAACCGGCACACUAACUUGGACUUAACAAGGUAGGUAAAGGGUGACUUAAUAUUUAUCAUAGUAUCGAUGGAGCGUGUGUGGUUAACCGGCACAUCGAUUGAGGGGUAAUUUAUUAAGGGUACCAAGUGAUUUGCAUGGUUACUUCACACCUUGUUUUGUGAUCCUCGGCAUCCCAGUCACAAAACCUGAAGGGCACACUCGAGAUUGAAACAUGCCUUUGAAAAGUUCAAUGAAUCUCAAAGAUCUAGGAGUUUCAAAACCAAUUAAAACCUAAUAAUACAUUUCGUUUAUCUUGGUGGAAAUUGGUGAAUCGUCAUUCACCUACCUUCAAAUAUUUUAUAGCUUGGAUUACGGCAUACCUCUUCUAAGUUAUAAAAUAGUUUGUUGGGUCCUAGCCUUAAUAUUUCAUAUUGGGUGUCAUAUUAAGGACUUUAAAUCAACUAUCUUGAAUAUCUCCCAAAAGAUGUCUGGUUUAGACACCUAUGAUCUUCCCAAAUCUCUUGAAACAAGGUUUCCUAAUGAAGAUGAUGUCCCAUGGAUAUCAUACUUCUUCACCUCUUCAAAUUAUUCUCCCUAACCCACAAGUUCUUGAAAAGUUUAAGGUCACUCAGGCCCUUUUGGCAAGGCAAGGUCUAGGUGUGGUCACAUCUUGGAGAUGUAGUCACAUAUUGACAAGCCGGGAGAGUUGGGUGUCAAAGUCUUGAGAAAGUUGGUGGUUCAACUACUUUCUAAGUCACAUAGUGAGUUCUUUUGGAACACCUAUGAAAAAGACUAUGACAAGACCCUUAAUGAUCUUAUCUAUUUGUUAAGAUCAACUUCCUAAAACUUUAUGGACAUUGACAAUGAUGACAUUGGAUAUCCAGUAAAGCAUUCUCUUCCCAAUGGAAAGGGAUCGGCUAUAGUCAACUCGGUUGACCAAAUGGUAAAGAGAAAAGCUAAGUCUGUGAUAGUCCUGUGUACCAUUAUCAAAGGGUCCAUAUGUUUGUAUUGCCAAAGAAAGGGCAUUGGUUGCGAAGCUGCCAAAUUUACCUAAGGAUGUUAAAGUCAAUAAGUUUGACUCUACUUCAGGUAAAAUCCACUAUCUAACUCUGUUAAGUUUCUAUUCUGAGAUUCUUGAUACAUGAUGUGACCGGGUCGCAUGGUGAUGGUUUAAGAAUCAAAGGAAAGUGAAGAAACUUAAAGGAAGAAUAUGCUGAAUCUGAUCGCAUAGAUGGAUUUCUAUCGCAUAGUUUGAAAAAUCGGAUUCUUGAGCUACUUCUUAGGAGUUAUGAGAUAUUGCUUAGGAAUAGAUAACAACAAGUUUUCAUAUGGAUUGUAAGGAUAGUUUUUCCGCAAAGUUUUAAAAUAAAAGGAAAUUUUUGAUUUUAUUUAUUUUAAAAUAUCCUUACAAUGGCAUCUGUGGAAAUUUUUGUUGCUUAUAAGAUUCCAUUAGUAGCAAGAGUGGAAGUAUGAAAUUGAUUCUUUCAUUUGUGGUAAUGUCUAAAUUUACCAAAUAAGGAAAGAUUCUCAUCACCCAAGUUUCAAUUGGACCGGAACUUGGAAUCAUGCAAGUUGUAUAGCAUGAUGAAUGAGAACUUUCAAGUUUUGGAAAAUUAAGACUAAUUACUUGUUCACAUGGAUGUGUGAGUCAAGUAAAGGACUUAGGGAUCGAGUACACAUUCUUGUGCACUGAUUAAGUCCACCACUAAAGAUCGAUAAGAAGAAUCAAAUAAGGCAGAAGGAUAAAAGUUUCUCAAAUCUGAAAAGAUGGGAGAGUACUUUAGUAUCAGUUUUGUGAUCAUCUUAAUGAUUAAGAAACCAUAUCAAAAUUAGUUCUCUAAGGAAAUCUUAGUGCAUUCUUAUGACUAAGAAGAGGAACUUGAAUUGUUGAAAUGGUUAAAUCAAGAAGAUGAGUCAUACUUCGUUCCAAUACAAGUCUUAGAGUCAUACUCCAAGAUUGUCAUUUGAGUGACAUGUCUUAAAGAAGGUUUAAAACACUUGUCAAAUGUAAGAGUAAAAGUUUUCUACUCUUGUACAUUUGAAAUUGGUAAGUUGUGAUGUUUUGGAUAAAACAAAGACCAACUUAGGCCAAUUGGGUAAAGUGUUUUUCUUGAUUAGAAUCCGCACUAUCUCUUGGAUGUUUGACAAGGGAGUCUUAUAUGUCAAGAGGACAGUGGGAGUCUUAAAGGUCUUGAAAGUCUCAAGAACUAAUCAAGAAUAAAACCUGAAGUUCUUCACUAGCACACGACUUGAGGUUUAUAACCUAUCGUGUUGACAUAUUCUGUGCCCAUUCCAGUUAAAGUUGGCUUUGCAUAUGAGUUCUUAGAGUUCUCAAUUUGUUGCACAACAACUUGGAAGCAAUGGCAGGCCCUUGAGCUGCCAGGUGGCAAGAAAUUAAGAUUGAGUUCAGUCCAUAUGAGUUUGGAUUUGUCAUUAUCCUUGUCUUGUGACUAUGGUUUUGACAAUUCACAUGGAUAAGAACACAUACACCAUUAAAUCUAAGUGUCAUAAGGUUUCUCUCCGAUUCAUGAAAAUGAUGGUGAGGAAACACUUUCACUAAGUAGAUUUUAGCUAGAUAGCAAUUGUGAUAUUUGCAUUCUCAAAGUCGUUAGUGGAGCGUGUGUGGUUUACCGGCACACUAACCUGGACUUGUGAGAAGUGGCAAAAAGGUCUAACCAUUAUGAUUACGGCAUCCCUCUUCAUAAUUGUUUAGACACACAAGUGUGCUAUCUAAGGGAAGGUGUAUGAUUUUGAUAAAGUUUUAUCAAAACAAUCUAGUAUCAGAAAUCUGAACUUUGGUAAGAAAGUCAAUGAAGUAUUGAUUUCUAGAAGUUCAGCUGAUUUCUGAGUACAUGUCAAAGCUAGUGGGAGCAUAAGUGUUAUGCUAAUAAUCAUCAUGUUAGUGGGAGCAUGAUAAUUAUGAUAAAGGUUGCAAGUUAGCAAUGUUAAUUAUAGAAAACAAAAGGUCUCAAUUGGGAAAAAGUUGUUUUGCUAUAAUUAAGGGAGAGGAUAUUAUACUUCAUCUCAAAUCUAAAAGCUUAGAUUGAGGUUUUAAUCGCAUUUAGUCAAGAAUAUAUAUGAAUUUCAUGUUGGAAUGGCUCAACAUAAGGAAAUUCUGUAUAUGGGUCCAUUAUUUGCGUUCUAAAAUUCGAUUAUGAUUACGGCAUCCCUUUUCAUAAUCUGAAUUAUGAGAACUUGGCAAAUAGAAAUGGAAAUAUUAUAGCAAAAGAUUGGUUUAGUCUUUAUGUGAGACAUCAUGAAUCGUGUCCCAUAUGCUUCGGAUAUAGGAUCGAUUACAUGUGUUAUAUUCAUCCUUUCUAAAAUUUUCCAAAUGCCUGGGGCAUUAAGAAGGGAAAAGGUCUAGAAUUGGAUAUGACUAAAAUGAUUAAGCAAUUGUCGAGGACAAUCUAAGGUUUACCAAAGAUUGGUUGCUCAAGGAUAGUUGGAAGUAUACUGUUAAUAUUGGAAGGACCAUAUUGACAUAGUCUGACAAGAGGCAACUCCUGUUCAGAAGUGAUAGUCAAAAUGGAAUAUAGAAAUGUUUCAAAGUUAGAAAGUAUUAAAGUAUUCAAUCUGUAAAAUUAGGAAACUUAAUGCAAGAAGGAUGUUUUUCAAGGAGUUGAUCUCCUUUGUAAUACUCUGUAAUGAUUUUUGCCAAGUCUUUGUGAAUUUGUGCAUAAUCAUUAUAAGAGGAUCAAUGCAUAUAAGUUUAGAAUCUAACCGAUUUUAGUAAAUGGCAUGAAUUUGGAAUUCUUGCAUUUGCAGUAAGGAAUUGGGACUAUGAAAUGAGAAUCAUUGGAGUUAUGUUCAAUUGAUCUAUUUCACAAAGUAAAGAUCAUAGACAAACAUAGUAUGCAUACUUGGUGUAUGGCAUGACUAGUGUUUAGAAAACAUAGUGUACAUGCUUGGAGCAUGGGACAACUAUUGUUUUAAAUUCAAGAAUAAAGUUGAUAGCUGAAACAGUAUACAAUGAAUAAUGUGUAAUCAUAUGGUGAUAAAUAAAAGGUGUUUUAUUUAUGUUCAUAGGUUUUGAUACCAUAUUGGAUUCAAUUAUUAUUGUGUUUCACUUUGCAUGUUUUGACUUCCAGAAUAACUAGGUCAUUGUUCUGAUUGACUAAGUUAUUCAAACCAUCCACAGUCGGUCAUAUGUUGGAAGUAGAUAUGAAUCAAGACUGUCAUGGGUUGGGUUUGUAGAGGUCUAAGAUGUUGGACAAGGUUGUGCUACAACACUCAUGAGUGCUCAUAAAUUCUGAGUAUUGGAUUCAACCUGCGCUCAUUGGAAUCACUUCAUGGAUUUUAUCACGAGUGAUCAUGAGACGAUAAUAUCUUAUAUUCUUCAAACCUAGAGAUAUGAGUUGUUACUAUGAGUUGGUUGUACAUUGAUUGCACGAAAAUGCAUUCGGUAACUCGGUGUUAUAAAACGUGCCUUUGUGUAUGAUUUAACAAGUAGUAGAACAAGCCAUAUGAGUCGAAGUUUAUCCAUUCCUUUUACCUUUGGGAUAAAAGCGAUAUCUGUGGGCCCCUUGAUGAUUUAAUGAUGACACAUGUGAGUGCUUGGCCAAGCCAGGACUGAUUUGAUUUGUUCAGUCAGUCAGUCGUCAUGAAUCGGAAAUCGGGAAAAAACAAAUGGACAGAGAGAAUGAUUAUAAUCCAUGUCUCAGUCCAUAUGAUAUCUAGAAUGGAGGAAUAUAUGAUCCCUUAUCUAAUGGACAAGUUUGUUGAAAAAGAUCAGAGUUCGACAGCGGCUUUAAGAGCUACGAUUGCCAGUUAGGUUUUUGAAGUCAUACUCAAUAGUAGUUUUAGACUUAUCCAAGUGGGAGACUGUUG
rnacentral:lncRNA from 1 species